rnacentral:rRNA from 1 species
UCCCAGACUCCUACGGGAGGCAGCAGUGGGGAAUAUUGGGCAAUGGGGGAAACCCUGACCCAGCGACGCCGCGUGAGGGAAGAAGGUUUUCGGAUUGUAAACCUCUGUCCUUGGUGACGAUAAUGACGGUAGCCAAGGAGGAAGCCACGGCUAACUACGUGCCAGCAGCCGCGGUAAUACGUAUGGUGCAAGCGUUAUCCGGAUUUACUGGGCGUAAAGGGAGCGCAGGCGGCGCGCCAAGUCUGAUGUGAAACCCCGGGGCUCAACCCCGGGCAUGCAUUGGAAACUGGCGGGCUGGAGUGCCGGAGAGGUAAGCGGAAUUCCUAGUGUAGCGGUGAAAUGCGUAGAUAUUAGGAGGAACACCAGUGGCGAAGGCGGCUUACUGGACGGCAACUGACGCUGAGGCUCGAAAGCGUGGGGAGCAAACAGGAUUAGAUACCCUUGUA